GCCACGAGGUCGUCCCUGUCCUCCAUCGCGGGCGACCGCCGCCGCCGGUGGAUCGGGCUAGUCCUCAUCACCGGUGAGCUAUGCCGCCACCACGUCUACAACUCCACCACGUCAAGACCACCACCACGUCGAGACCACCACCAGUUCUACAUCAUCGCAACAUCCAGAGACGCCGCCAGUUAGCAGAGCUAUCAAGUGGACAAUUGUAAGGUGCUCCAUAUCAUGCUGAGGCAGCAACGACCUGUGGUGAGACCAGCGAUGAGGUACGCGCGGCCGGCCACGAUCGUCUGGAGGGCGACAACGAGCUGCUCGGAGGUCACUGACGAUCUGCUGGAGGCCUGCCACGAGCUUGUGUUUGUAGUCUAGAGUGUGAUUGCUUCAUGUCUUUGGUCUAUUUUGACCCGUUAGGGCUAGCGCAGCUGACGUGCACCAUAUUACAUGGUGCCAAAGUGUUUCGUUUGCAUGCAAUCCAUUUUAGCAUACAACUAACAGGUUUAUGUACAACAAUGGCUAGUUCUGAAACUUCACCUAUAUGAUGGCUAUAUUAAAUAUGCGGACACAUGAAGAUAAACGACUUUUCUGA